rnacentral:rRNA from 1 species
AUUGAACGCUGGCGGCAGGCCUAACACAUGCAAGUCGAGCGAGCGGCGGACGGGUGAUUAAUGUAUGGGGACUGCCCGAUAGAGGGGGCUACCUACUGGAGACGGUAACUACUACCGCAUACUAUCGGAUAACCCAUAUGGGAUUAGCUAGUAGGUGAGGUAAUGGCCCACCUAGGCGACGAUCCCUAGCUGGUCUGAGAGGAUGAUCAGCCAAACUGGGACUGAGACACGGCCCAGACUCCGACGGAGGCAGCAGUGGGGAAUAUUGGACAAUGGGCGCAAGCCUGAUGCAGCCAUGCCGCGUGUAUGAAGAAGGCCCUAGGGUUGUAAAGUACUUUCAGUCGGGAGGCGUUACCGACAGAAGAAGCACUGGCUAACUCCGUGCCAGCAGCCGCGGUAAUUC